rnacentral:rRNA from 1 species
CCUACGGGUGGCAGCAGUGAGGAAUAUUGGUCAAUGGGCGGGAGCCUGAACCAGCCAAGUCGCGUGAGGGACGACGGUCCUAUGGAUUGUAAACCUCUUUUGUCGGGGAACAAAGGCGCCCACGGGUGGGCGGAUGAGUGUACCCGAAGAAAAAGCCCCGGCUAACUACGUGCCAGCAGCCGCGGUAAUACGUAGGGGGCAAGCGUUAUCCGGAUUUACUGGGUGUAAAGGGAGCGUAGACGGCGCGGCAAGUCUGAAGUGAAAGGCAGGGGCUUAACCCCUGAACUGCUUUGGAAACUGCCAUGCUAGAGUGCUGGAGAGGUAAGUGGAAUUCCUAGUGUAGCGGUGAAAUGCGUAGAUAUUAGGAGGAACACCAGUGGCGAAGGCGGCUUACUGGACAGUAACUGACGUUGAGGCUCGAAAGCGUGGGGAGCAAACAGGAUUAGAUACCCCUGUAGUC